UUUCCUUCGGGACUGAUUAUUUUGUGACUGAGUGGCGAACGGGUGAGUAACGCGUGAGUAACCUGCCCUGGAGUGGGGGACAACAGUUGGAAACGACUGCUAAUACCGCAUAAGCCCACGGCUCGGCAUCGAGCAGAGGGAAAAGGAGCAAUCCGCUUUGAGAUGGCCUCGCGUCCGAUUAGCUAGUUGGUGAGGUAACGGCCCACCAAGGCGACGAUCAGUAGCCGGCCUGAGAGGGUGAACGGCCACAUUGGGACUGAGACACGGCCCAAACUCC
rnacentral:rRNA from 1 species